CUCUAUCAGGAAUAUCUUUAGUAGAAUGAUUUACGACAAAACAACUAUCCCCUGUUAUUGACUGUGCAAGGUCAUGGAUCAGAUCAUGCAUUUUAUAAUCAUACCCUUCCUUUUGAAAAAAUGACCUAAAUAAUAAUUCUUUAAAGUAUUCAUCACCAAUCUCCUCUAAACUUUUAUUUCCACUUUGACUCCAGGAAUGAACAUAGCCUUGUGCCAUCCAUAACUCAAUUAGCAUCUCCUUACCAAAAUUAUAAUCUUUAGGGAACAUAGCACAAUAUGCAAAACAUUGCCUUAAAUAAUUUGGUAAGUGAUCAUAACUCAAUUUCAACACUGGACCAAUAUCACUUUUACCCUCAAGCAACUUCCAUACAUCAUUUUUUAGGACAGAUAGCCAUUCACUUUCACUGCUUAUUGAUCGCAUCAUGCUCCCUAAAGUCUUUAUUGCUAGUGGAACUCCUUUACACUUUCUUACAAUUUCUUCUCCAAUUUUGAGUUUUGAGUUUGAUAUUUCCUGCCCCUGUUUAAAUGCUAACUUCUUAAACAAAAACAAAGAUUGGCCUUCUGUUAGAACCGCUAGAUCAUGAGAGAAAUCAGCACCCAUAGCUAAAGCAACUCUCUUGCUGCGAGUACUUACUAGAAUCUUACUUCCUCUAGCACCAAUUGACAAAUAUUUUUUCAAAUUAUUCCACUUGUCUAUAUUUUCAUUCCACACAUCAUCUAACACUAGUAAGUAUCUCUUCCCUUCUAUCUUUUCCCUUAGGUUACUUUGCAACUGGUCCAAACCUAAAUCAUCCAGAUCUUUUUUGCCUACACUUUUAAGAAUAUUUUUAACUAGAAUUUUCACAUCAAACUCUUCAGAAACACAUACCCACAUCUUUGGAUCAAAAUGCUUUAUGACAUUGUUAUCAUUGAACACCAAUUGGGCAAGGGCAGUCUUUCCCAAGCCACCAAAACCAACAAUUGCAACUACAGAAACACUCUCUUCAUUUUCAAGACACAACAAUGACUCUAUGAUUUUUUCCUUAUCUCCAUCUCUUCCUAUCAU
rnacentral:misc_RNA from 1 species